ACUCAAAUGAAUUGACGGGGGCCCGCACAAGCGGUGGAUGAUGUGGAUUAAUUCGAUGCAACGCGAAGAACCUUACCUGCCUUUGACAUGCCAGGGACUCUCAAGAGAUUGAGGGGUGCCUUAGGGAACCUGGACACAGGUGCUGCAUGGCUGUCGUCAGCUCGUGUCGUGAGAUGUUGGGUUAAGUCCCGCAACGAGCGCAACCCUUGCCAUUAGUUGCCCGUAUUAAGUUAGGCACUUUAAUGGGACUGCCGGUGACAAACCGGAGGAAGGUGGGGAUGACGUCAAGUCCUCAUGGCCCUUAUAGGCAGGGCUUCACACGUCAUACAAUGGUUGGUACAGAGGGCUGCGAACCUGCGAAGGGGAGCUAAUCUCAGAAAGCCAAUCGUAGUCCGGAUUGUAGGCUGCAACUCGCCUACAUGAAGUCGGAAUCGCUAGUAAUCGCGGAUCAGCAUGUCGCGGUGAAUACGUUCCCGGGCCUUGUACACACCGCCCGU
rnacentral:rRNA from 1 species